AAGGAUAUAGUUCAGUGGUAGAGCACAUGCUUAGCAUGGAUGAGGUCCUGGGUUCAAUCCUUGGUAUCUCCA
rnacentral:tRNA from 1 species